AUCAGUUCCAUUUAAUUCAAUUUAAGUCGUGUUUAUUUCUAAAGCACCAAGUCAAAGCAAAAACUGUCCCAAUAUGCUGUAUGCUAUAAGGUAAAACACCAAAUAUUUAGAAGAAAACCCCAAAAGUCAAAGGCCCUCCUACGAGUUAACACCUUGCAAUAGUGGGGAGGAAAAACUGUCUUUUGACGGGAAGAAAGCAGUAGAACCAGAGUCAGAGAGAGAGGCAGCCAACUGCCACAACCUGUUGGGAGAGAGAGGAAAGAGAAGAGAAGCACAAGAGCAUACGGGAGACAUACAAGCCACAAACAAUGGCAGACAGGAGACAAAACCACCGAACUGCGUGUGGCGUGUUAAUCAGAUGGACAAACUUUCCCAGUUUAAAGAUCAGAAUACUUUUGAGAUGGCAUUCUUAAAACUGAAAGCUUAUCUUAUCCUCUGCUUUGUUUAGUCACUUUGUAUUAACACAAUAAGUACCUCUCAUUGUCAACUGCCAUUGCAAAUACUGACAGCGUAUUUCCAUUCAAACCUGCUCAACGGCAUUACUUUUCAAUGUCCGUUCUCAUCUUUUCACGUGAGAAUCAACAGCUGCGUGAAGGGGACACUGAGGAAAUCAGGAAGAAUCGACAAAGCUUCAGAAUCAAAUGAGUCCCAUCAUUUAAAUGUACUUUAACUACUUUAACUAUGUUAUUAGAUGGUAGCCCUGUGCCCUUAGAUUUUUGCAUUCCAAAUAACUGCUCAAAUACAGCCCCCUUAACAAACAAACAAACAAACAAACAAAACAAAAAUCAAAAAGCUUAAAAAUUAAAAGUCAUAUAGAAAUUCUUUUAAAAGACCUCAAAAACUACAUGGGUUAAUUUUCCAGUUUUCCAGCGGCGCCUAAAGCCAGAAUGGACAGAAGAGCCAAUCAUAAAUCUCAAAUGAUAUCUAAAUCAUCUGUUACUAUGUGGAGUGGGCAGAUCUGAGUGCUUACUUUCGCUUUCGUGUUCCUUGAAAAAGGCCAUUUCUGCUGAGGGAAACCGCAAUCUGACCACACACGCAACCUCUUAGGCAAACAGUUCGUAAUUGUUUCUGCGCGCACGCAAGCCGUGCACAGACGUUUUAAAAGAGGCACGUGCAGUGGAAUUCCAAAACCCAACAAGCAAUGUAUGCGCGUGCUUGCAAAUGUAAACAACGAAACAGGUGUGUGGCCGAGUGUGGUCUUGGCACACAGGGUUUCCAUGGUAGGCACACCUGAGGACGGUUUGGCUCAGUCAAGCUAGUGUAUUUAAGGAGUGGCCUGGCAGUUAUUCUUCGCCUUAUCGUUGUAUCUCCUCGAGUGGUAACCAAAUGGCAAA